AAUGCAGCUGUUUCUCAUAAACUACAAUGAAUGAGCCUAUAAUAAGGCUUCACCCUUUAUAACCUGCAGUCUCUUGCCUGUCUGUCGUCAGAGAGGUAACCCCUUCCCGUGAGGUUACUUCUGAGGUGCCAAGAGUUGCAAGGAGAGCGCAGAUGUGCCAGCGGAGGGGAGCUUUUUGAGCUUCCAGGCAUCUAUUUUGCUGUGGAACUGAAAUACAACCCAAAGAACUGCAAGGAAGAGACAUAUCAAGACUCCUUUCUCCAAAGAAAUUUGGAUUGAAAAUCAGAACACAGUGAAAAUGACUUAGAGAAAAUAAUGCCACAGAUAUAUCUAAAAUGUGAAUGAAGCUGGAAGCAGCAGAGGACCACACACCAUGAAAUGUAAACAGAGGAGAAAAAAGCUAGAUGCCAGAGAGGAAGAGAAGAACC